GUGUUUCUCUCUCUCUACUAUCCCUCCCUAUUGUCUUUCUCUUCUACAGUGUGUGUGUGUGUGUCUCUCUCUCUGGUGUCUCUCUCUGUGUCUCUUCUAGUGCCUUUCUCUAGUGUCUGUCAUGUCUCUCUCCCUAGUGUCUUCAUCUACUAUCCCUCACUCCCUCUAGUGUCUCCCUCUUUUUAAUGAUCUUCUAUAGUGUGUCUCUCUCUGGUAUCCCUCUCUGUGUCUCUUCUAUUGUCUCUCUCUAGUUGUCUUCAUCUACUAUCCCUCACUCCCUCUAGUGUCUCUCUCUUUUUAAUGAUCUUCUACAGUGUGUCUCUCUGGUACCUCUCUUUGUGUCUCUUCUAUUGUCUCUCUCUAGUGUCUCUCGUGUCUCUCUCAGUAGUGUCUUUCUCUACUAUCUCUCUCUAGUGUCUCUCAAUAGUGUCUUUCUCUACUAAUCUCUCUCUAGUGUUUCUCUUUAGUGUCUCUCUCUCUUUUUAGCGAUUUACUACAGUGUCUCUCUCAAUAUGGUCUUUCUCUACUAUCUCUCUCUAGUCUUUCCCUUUAGUGUCUCUCUUUUUAAAGAUUUACUACAGUGUCUCUCUCAAUAGUGUCUUUCUCUACUAUCUCUCUCUAGUGGUUCUCUUUAGUGUCU
ensembl:lncRNA